UAGUCAUAUGCUUGUCUCAAAGAUUAAGCCAUGCAUGUCUAAGUAUACGCAAAUUAUACUGUGAAACUGCGAAUGGCUCAUUAAAUCAGUUAUAGUUUAUUUGAUGUUUCUUGCUACAUGGAUAACUGUGGUAAUUCUAGAGCUAAUACAUGCGUAAAAAGCCCCGACUUCUGGAAGGGGUGUAUUUAUUAGAUAAAAACCAUCCUCCUCGGAGUUUGGUGAUUCAUAAUAACUUCUCGAAUCGCACGGCCUUGUGCUGGCGAUGCUUCAUUCAAAUAUCUGCCCUAUCAACUGUCGAUGGUAGGAUAGAGGCCUACCAUGGUUGCAACGGGUAACGGGGAAUAAGGGUUCGAUUCCGGAGAGGGAGCCUGAGAAACGGCUACCACAUCCAAGGAAGGCAGCAGGCGCGCAAAUUACCCA
rnacentral:rRNA from 1 species